rnacentral:ncRNA from 1 species
UAUCUGUAGGGGAGCUGUUGCUGAGAGUGCCCAUCCUGCUGGAUCUGCGAGAAACCGGAAUACCGGUUUGGUCUGCGGAACGAGGAUGGCUGACCCUUAGAACCUGAUCCGGGUAAUGCCGGCGAAGGGAUACAAAU